rnacentral:rRNA from 1 species
CCUACGGGAGGCAGCAGUGAGGAAUAUUGGUCAAUGGGCUUACGCCUGAACCAGCCAAGUCGCGUGAGGGAAGACUGCCCUAUGGGUUGUAAACCUCUUUUGUCAGGGAGCAACGCCGGCUACGUGUAGCCGGACUGAGAGUACCUGAAGAAAAAGCAUCGGCUAACUCCGUGCCAGCAGCCGCGGUAAUACGUAGGGGGCAAGCGUUAUCCGGAUUUACUGGGUGUAAAGGGAGCGUAGGCGGCAAGGUAAGCCAGAAGUGAAAGCCCGCGGCUCAACUGCGGGACUGCUUUUGGAACUAUCUAGCUAGAUUGCAGGAGAGGUAAGUGGAAUGCCUAGUGUAGCGGUGAAAUGCGUAGAUAUUAGGAGGAACACCAGUGGCGAAGGCGGCUUACUGGACUGUAAAUGACGCUGAGGCUCGAAAGCGUGGGGAGCAAACAGGAUUAGAUACCCCUGUAGUC